rnacentral:lncRNA from 1 species
AUGUCCCCAAGUAUUCCCAGUCAUGGUGGCCCCAAUGUCCCCUCAAUGUCCCCUCUGUGGUGGCCUCAAUGUCCCCUCAAUGAUCCUGGUGGUGGCCUUGAUGUCCCCNCCAGCUCCACCAAGAUCCCUCCUGGCUCCACCAGGCCCCACUUGGAUCUACCAGAUCCCACCUGGCUCCACCAGAUCCCACCUGGACCUUCCAGAUUUCACACAGAUUCUUCAGAUCCCACCCGGAUCCUCCAGAUCCUUCCUGGAUCCUCCAGAUCUCACACAGAUCGUCCAGACUCCACCAGGAUCCACCAGAUCCCUCCUGGCUCCACCAGAUCCCACCUGGACCUUCCAGACUCUAUCAGGAUCCACCAGCUCUCUCCUGGAUCCACCAGAUCUCACACAGAUCCUCCAGACUCCAUCAGGAUCCUCCAGAUCCCUCCUGGAUCAUCCAGAUCCCACCUGGACCUUCCAGACUCCACCAGGAUCCUCCUGGACCUUCCAGACUCCACCAGGAUCCUCCAGAUCCCUCCUGGCUCCACCAGAUCCCUUUUGGAUUCACCAGAUCCCCUCUGGCNGGGAUCCGAUGGGAUCCAUGAGCUGGGAUUGAACCCUGAUCCAGCCCAAACCCAGCCAGGAUCCACCAGGAUUGAACCCAGAGCCCGCAGGGCCGCGGGCAGUGCUGCAGCAACUGAGGGAUCCAUGGGAUCUGAUGGGAUCCAGCCCAAAUCCAGCUGGGAUUGAACCCAGAUCCAGCUGGGAUCCAGCCCAGAUCCAGCUGGGAUCACAGCCAAGAUUGAGCCCAAAUCCAACCCAAAUCCAGCCGGGAUCCACCAGGAUUGAACCCAGAUCCAGCUCACAGGGCCACAGCCAGUGCUGGAGCAGCUGAGGGAUCCACCAGGAUCCAGCCCAGAUCCCAGCCAGGAUCCCAGCAGAUCCCAGCUCCAUCUGCACCCUGGGGCUCUCCCUGAGUUCUCUCCCAGCACUGUUUGAAGCUUCCAAG